GGCACGGGGGGCCUACGGGAGGCAGCAGUAAGGAAUCUUCCACAAUGGGGGCAACCCUGAUGGAGCAACGCCGCGUGAAGGAUGAAGGCCCUAGGGUCGUAAACUUCUUUUGUUAGCGAAGAAUAUGACGGAACUAACGAAUAAGGCAUUCCCC
rnacentral:rRNA from 1 species